rnacentral:rRNA from 1 species
CCCGGGAACAAGGAGGUGGUAUCAGGCUCUUUCCAUUAGCCCACGACACCUUGCUUAGCCACACCCUCAAGGGAAUUCAGCAGUGAUAGACAUUAAGCCAUAAGUGAAAACUUGACUUAGUCAAAGCUAAGAGGGUCGGUAAAACUCGUGCCAGCCACCGCGGUUAUACGAGAGACCCAAGUUGAUUGACCCCGGCGUAAAGCGUGGUUAGGAAAAGACUAAAACUAAAGCCGAACAUCUUCAGAACUGUCAUACGCAUCCGAAGAUAAGAAGAUCAACUACGAAAGUGGCUUUACACANUCUGAACCCACGAAAGCUAUGACACAAACUGGGAUUAGAUACCCCACUAUGCCUAGCCC